rnacentral:rRNA from 1 species
CGUGGCUAAUACCGCAUACGCCCUACGGGUGACAUGGGGGGACCUUCGGGCCUUAUCUGUUGGAGCGGGCGAUGUCGGAUUUUCUAUAUGGUGGGGUAACGGCCUACCCCGCGCGAUCCGUCUAUGGGCUCUAGGACGACCAUCCACCUGGGACUGAGACAGGCCCCCACUCCUACGGGAGGCGCAGUGGGGAAUUUUGUACAAUGGGGGCAACCCUGAUCCCCCAUCCCGCGUGUGCGAUGAGACUGCCGGGUUGUUGUAGCUUUUGUUGGAAAGAACGGCCUGGCUAAUAUCCUGUGCUGAGACGGUACCUGAAUAAUGAUCGCGGCUUCUACGUGCCAGCACCCGCGGUACACAUAAGGUGAGAGCGUUCCUCAUAAUUAGUGGGCGUAGGGCGUGCGCGCGCGCUAUUAAAACAAGGAUGUGAAAUCCCGGGGCUUACCCUUGGAACUGCUUUUUUCACUACCGGGCUAAACUGUGUCAAAUGGACGUGGAAUUCCGCGUGUAGCAGUGAUAUGCAUAUAUAUGCUAAAGAUCACCGAUGGCGAGCGCCUCCUCCUGGUAUUAUUCUGACUCUCAUGCACGAAAGCGUGGGAUAGAAACAGAUAUUAUAUACCCUGGUAGUCCACGCCCUAAACGAUGUCAAUCUAAUGUGUUGCGAUCCUACUGGCCUUGUCCACCGCAACUAACGCGUGUUAGUCUGACCUGCCUGAGGGAGUACGGCUCGCGAUGAUUACUCACUCGGAAGUGGAUUGGAGGGGCGCAGCCCGCAGCAGGCGGAUGCAUGAUGUUGGAUUUAC